rnacentral:rRNA from 1 species
AGUGAACGCUGGCGGUAGGCCUAACACAUGCAAGUCGAACGGCAGCACAGUAAGAGCUUGCUCUUACGGGUGGCGAGUGGCGGACGGGUGAGGAAUACAUCGGAAUCUACUUUUUCGUGGGGGAUAACGUAGGGAAACUUACGCUAAUACCGCAUACGACCUACGGGUGAAAGCAGGGGAUCUUCGGACCUUGCGCGAUUGAAUGAGCCGAUGUCGGAUUAGCUAGUUGGCGGGGUAAAGGCCCACCAAGGCGACGAUCCGUAGCUGGUCUGAGAGGAGGAUCAGCCACACUGGAACUGAGACACGGUCCAGACUCCUACGGGAGGCAGCAGUGGGGAAUAUUGGACAAUGGGCGCAAGCCUGAUCCAGCCAUACCGCGUGGGUGAAGAAGGCCUUCGGGUUGUAAAGCCCUUUUGUUGGGAAAGAAAAGAAGCAGGUUAAUACCCCGCUGUUCUGACGGUACCCAAAGAAUAAGCACCGGCUAACUUCGU